CUUGGGCGUGCCUGUAGUCCCAGCUACUUGGGAGGCUGAGGUGGGAAGAUCGCUUGAGCCUAGGAGAUCUGGGCUGUACUGUGCUAUGCCCAUUGGGUGUCCGCACUAAGUUCAGCAUCAAUAUGGUGACCUCCCAGGAGUGAGGGACUACCAGGUUGCCUAAGGAGGGGUAAACCGGCCCAGGUUGGAAAUGGAGCAGGUCAAAACUCCUGUGCUGAUCAGUAGUGGGAUUGUGCCUGUGAAUAGCCACUGCACUCCAGUCUGGGCAACAUAGCAAGACCCCAUCUCU
rnacentral:SRP_RNA from 1 species